rnacentral:rRNA from 1 species
GACGAACGCUGGCGGCGUGCUUAACACAUGCAAGUCGAACGGUGAAGGGACUGGUUUUGCUGGUCCUGGAUGAGUGGCGAACGGGUGAGUAACACGUGAGUAACCUGCCCCCUUCUUCUGGAUAACCGCAUGAAAGUGUGGCUAAUACGGGAUAUUCUGGGUCUGUCGCAUGGUGGGCCUGGGAAAGAUUGCGCCUUUUUUGGUGUUUUUGGUGGGGGAUGGGCUCGCGGCCUAUCAGCUUGUUGGUGGGGUGAUGGCCUACCAAGGCGGUGACGGGUAGCCGGCCUGAGAGGGUGGACGGUCACACUGGGACUGAGACACGGCCCAGACUCCUACGGGAGGCAGCAGUGGGGAAUAUUGCACAAUGGGCGCAAGCCUGAUGCAGCGACGCCGCGUGAGGGGUGGAGGCCUUCGGGUUGUGAACCUCUUUCGCCAGUGAAGCAGGCCUGCCUCUUUUUGUGGGUGGGUUGACGGUAGCUGGAGAAGAAGCGCCGGCUAACUACGUG